GUUCAUAAUCUGCCUUUCUUCACUCUGCUUGGUGCCUGAGGAGCUGAGCCCCAUGGACCUUGCUUCAGCAAGAUUCCAUUACCUUCUGUCUUUCAGCUGGCCAUUGGGAAACUUGUCAGAGAAAAGUUUCCUUUACUCAUGAAAUAAGGUACAUACCUUGAGCCCAGUGAAACAAACUCAAGGACACCUAGAACAUUCUCAUAACCUCUUAAUGAUCCUGAGUACCAGAUGCCUAUUGCUAAUCAACAUGAUCACUGUUGCCUUUGCCAUUUAUAAAUAGGGAGUUUGAUGAAUAUGCAGGGCCAUUUGCACUGAGCUUUGAAUCUGCUUCAGUCUUUACAUGAUGUAAAGAAGCAUCUGCUUGCCUUAGUCACCCAAACAAAUUCCAAAAAUGAAAGGUGAAAAUAUCCUAAAGCUGUUGGAUUUCACUUUUUAAAAAUUUGCCACUGUUGCCUUUCAAGGAGAUUUAAUAACAAUUGCUUGUGAGGGAACUUAUAGGAGAAAACCAAAGACAAUGAUAAAAAAAUUAUAUAAAGAUAUUUGUUCAUCUGAAAAUAACUUGUUUUUUUUUUUUAUUCCAAAGAAAAGCAAAUGAUUUCUUGUACCUGGUUUAUGCAUAGCUAUUUACUUAACUAACUUCUCGAGGAAAAUUUCUGCAUCCUUAAUUGUAUAGGCCAUAAUGUCUUUUAACUGGGAUGAUUAAAACAAAGAAUACCCCAGACUGGUUUUUUUUUCAUACAUAUAUAUUCUAACCCUCUCUUUCAAAUAAAUAGCCAACUCUCUUGUUUUGCAUCUCUCUCUCUCUCCUACCCGACAUUGUCUUCUCCCUUCCCCCCUCCCUUUCUUCCUUUCUUCUCCAAAGCAGUUCUUCAAACUAUAUAUUGUUUUUUUAUGAGCAAUAUGAAGACACAUACUUAAAAGAGGGCUGAUGUGCUGAACCUCAAUCAUUGCCUUUAAAUACUGCCAGAACUAUUGUAAGAGGGAUGAAACUUGGGAAAUACAAACUGUACUGAA